GGACCCGCACAAGCGGUGGAGCAUGUGGUUUAAUUCGAAGCAACGCGAAGAACCUUACCAGGCCUUGAGAUCCCGGUGAAUAUUCCGUAAUGGGGAUAGCUCUUCGGAGCACUGGAGACAGGUGGUGCAUGGUUGUCGUCAGCUCGUGUCGUGAGAUGUUGGGUCAAGUCCCGCAACGAGCGCAACCCUUAUUCUCAGUAGCCAGCACGCAAUGGUGGGCACUCUGAGGAGACUGCCGGGGAUAACCCGGAGGAAGGUGGGGAUGACGUCAAAUCAUCAUGCCCCUUAUGGCCUGGGCUACACACGUGCUACAAUGGCGUCGACAAAGGGAAGCAGCCCUGUGAAGGUGAGCGAAUCCCAAAAACGGCGUCUCAGUUCGGACUGUAGUCUGCAACCCGACUACACGAAGCUGGAAUCGCUAGUAAUCGCGAAUCAGCAUGUCGCGGUGAAUACGUUCCCGGGUCUU
rnacentral:rRNA from 1 species